UGGGGCGAGCGCGAGGGAAACCUGUGAUGUUCUUAAAACUCUAGGGCAUGGACCUGUUUCAAAAUAUCAGCCUGCAAAAUCAUUAUAAACACGAAUUCUAGCAAGUUUGCGCAGAAAUUCCCGACGUAAACAGUUCUAUGGCGACAAAAAAGCGAAAAAUUGCAGGAAGCGGACUUUCAAAUAUGUUGUUUUUUAGGCAAAGGCGUUUUUGCCUGCGGAGACGGCUAAGAUGCUGACGUACAGACGCGCACGAUCUAACAGCACCAGUCCACAAUCUAACAAGAGGAUUACAAUCGCUAUCAAGUGAUUACUUCAUUAUCAUUAUGUUAUUGUCUUUAAGUGGUCACAAACAAUGUAUUUCAUUUCAACAAUUUGCACUAGAACCUGCCGGAAGGAGUAGCAACGCGCCACGUUUUAUAAUUCUGACAAAAAGAACUAGGAGUCUCCCAAUUGCUCAAUAAAUCUACUGAUUAACAGGUGCAAGUAAAGAGUCACAAAACAAAGCUGUGGUAAUAUUUCUCUAAUCUUCAAUACAAGGGCCUUUUAGCAAAAUAUUUCAAGUUUAUGGGACACUAGAUCAAAAUUGGUUUUCCCUUGAAAUAAAAUAUCAUGUAAUACUUUGGUAGUUUUAUCUUUGUGGAUUAUUUUACCCCUUUCUCUGAAAUGUCAUCACUUUACCUGUGCUUGUGUGAACAUCUGUCAACAUGGUUUUAUGUGUUUAUGUAAUUUGUAUAUUAUGCUUAUAUAUUCCAAGAUGACUCCCUACAUCAUGUUAGGGUUUGCUAAAGGAUACUUCAACAAAAUUCAAGAAAAUAAGUUUAUCAGAAAGCGUAUAAU